UCACUAAGUGAGCAAAAAAAGUAAAAUUUUAGAUCCAUUAAAAGUUAGCAAAGAACUCCAGAUGUUGGCAGCUUCCUUCCUUGGAUGUCUGAGUGA
rnacentral:snoRNA from 1 species